rnacentral:rRNA from 1 species
GACGAACGCUGGCGGCGUGCUUAACACAUGCAAGUCGAACGGAAAGGCCCUGCUUGCAGGGUACUCGAGUGGCGAACGGGUGAGUAACACGUGGGUGAUCUGCCCUGCACUUCGGGAUAAGCCUGGGAAACUGGGUCUAAUACCGGAUAGGAGCCAUUUUUAGUGUGAUGGUUGGAAAGUUUUUUCGGUGUAGGAUGAGCUCGCGGCCUAUCAGCUUGUUGGUGGGGUAAUGGCCUACCAAGGCGGCGACGGGUAGCCGGCCUGAGAGGGUGGACGGCCACAUUGGGACUGGGAUACGGCCCAGACUCCUACGGGAGGCAGCAGUGGGGAAUAUUGCACAAUGGGGGCAAGCCUGAUGCAGCGACGCCGCGUGGGGGAUGACGGCCUUCGGGUUGUAAACUCCUUUCGCUAGGGACGAAGCUUUUUGUGACGGUACCUAGAGAAGAAGCACCGGCUAACUACGUG